UACGUAGGGGGCAAGCGUUGUUCGGAAUUACUGGGCGUAAAGGGCUCGUAGGUGGCCAACUAAGUCAGACGUGAAAUCCCUCAGCUUAACUGGGGAACUGCGUCUGAUACUGGAUGGCUUGAGUUUGGGAGAGGGAUGCGGAAUUCCAGGUGUAGCGGUGAAAUGCGUAGAUAUCUGGAGGAACACCGGUGGCGAAGGCGGCAUCCUGGACCAAUACUGACACUGAGGAGCGAAAGCCGAGGGGAGCAAACGGG
rnacentral:rRNA from 1 species